rnacentral:rRNA from 1 species
AACGCGCGGCUGUAGCAAUACGGCUGGCGCGUGGCGAACGGGUGAGUAACACGUGGGCAACCUUCCCUCGAAUGUGGAACAACCCGUCGAAAGGCGGGCUAAUACCGCAUAACAUCCCGGUCACACAAGCGGCCGGGAUCAAAGCUCGCAAGGGCGUUUGAGGAGGGGCCCGCGGCCGAUCAGCUAGUUGGCGAGGUAACGGCUCACCAAGGCUACGACCGGUAGCUGGCCUGAGAGGGUGGCCGGCCACACUGGAACUGAGACACGGUCCAGACUCCUACGGGAGGCAGCAGUGGGGAAUCUUGCGCAAUGGGCGAAAGCCUGACGCAGCGACGCCGCGUGGGGGAUGAAGCCUUUCGGGGUGUAAACCCCUUUUAGCCCGGACGAAAUCCCGGCAACGGGAUUGACGGUACGGGCAGAAAAAGCCCCGGCUAACUACGUGCCAGCAGCCGCGGUAAAACGUAGGGGGCCAGCGUUGCUCGGAAUGACUGGGCGUAAAGGGUCUGUAGGCGGUGCGGCAAGUCGGAAGUGAAAUCCCGGGGCUUAACUCCGGGGCUGCUUCCGAAACUGCCGCGCUAGAGUGCGGGAGAGGGGAGUGGAAUUGCCGGUGUAGCGGUGAAAUGCGUAGAUAUCGGCAGGAACACCGGAGGCGAANGCGGCUCCCUGGACCGCAACUGACGCUGAAAGACGAAAGCUGGGGGAGCAAACAGG